AUGGGCGUCUGGUCCCGUCACAAGAAAAAUAAUAUUCCCAACGUUCUACUAGAAAGGUUGCAUCUGGAGGAUGACGAACUUGAUAAUAUGAUCUGGGAGGAGAAAGUCGACGACUCAGAGAAGAAGCCGAAGUGGUUAGCCCUUGCAAGGCUAUUGACUACAAAAACAUUUAGUCAAGGAGCACUAAUUGCGGAUAUAAGAGCCACAUGGCACUCAAUGAGGGAUGUGGUGUGGAGAAGGAUAAGUGCCGACCUCUUCUUGGUGCAAUUCAAUUGCUUAGCUGAUUGGAAUAAGGCUAUCGACCAAGGCCCUUGGGAUUUCCAAGGUACGGCUCUAAUAAUUGCUAAAUAUGACGGUAUUACUAAUUUGAAAAGUGCUAAAUUGGACAAGAUCGAAACCUGGUGUCGAAUACAUAGGCUGUCAGAUGGAGUUUUGAAGAAGAAAUGGUCUGUAGAGAACAUGGCUAAGCGCACUGGACAAGUGCAGGGGCUGCAAAUUACCCUACCUAGCAGGUUCAUUUUUGAGUUCAUCCGAGUUAGGGUUAAGCUUCAUGUGAGUGAGAAACUGGGCAGAUUUAUCAGCUUCACCAAGGCCAUGAAUACUGAGUUUUAUCAAACUAAAUUUGAAAAGCUACCCACGUCUGUUAUUGUUGCGGUAAGUUUGGACGUUGGCAUGUGGAGUGUGGCAUCGCAGAGCUCAAUGAAGACGAUAUGGAGUGGGGUUCAUUCAUUUAGCAACCAAGAGAGGGCGUGA
rnacentral:rRNA from 1 species